UAUAUACUCCCUCCGUCCUGAAAUUCUUGUUUUAGAUUUGUCUAGAUAUAAAUGUAUCUNNNCACGUUUUAGUAUUUUGAUACAUCUAUUUUUAGACAAACCUAAGACAAGAAU
rnacentral:pre_miRNA from 1 species